UUCACGGUGCUCUUGGUGGUUUCUUAUUCCUUUUUUCUUUAAAGUUAUGUGGAAUAUUUAACUAUUUAAAGUUAAGUGGG
ensembl:miRNA